CUUCAAAGUGAGGUUUGUAGGGGGCAGGGCCAGGAAGAGGGGAAGGUCUGGGAGGACCUGGAGGGCGCAGCCCAGGGACAAGGAGGGGCAGGAGGGAGCCUGGACUUUGGAGGAUGGGGAAGGCAGGCCAGGGCCCGGAGUGGGUGAAGACUUCUCAGGACUAGGCCAGGACAGUGCCCAUCCCUGCAGAAGCCCAGUGGCCAAUUGAGGCAGGAGGAGCUCCAGACAACAGCAUGUGAGGCAGGCGUGGAUUUUGUGUACAAGACAAAGCUGGAAUCUGUGGAGGUCUCUGCCUCCAACCCUUACGUCUAUUACAACACGCAGCUCGAAGACAUCAUUAAGAGUGGUACGGACCCUGCCACACCCCUGGCCAUGAAGAAAUUCGUCUCCCAUGCCACUUGCCAUGACUCCCUGGGGUUGCAAGAACAGGAAUCGUACCUCAUCAUGGGCCAGACGUCAGACCUGUGGAGAAUCAAAUCUGAUUACAGCUAUGUUCUGGGCAAGGAGACGUUCCUCAUCCUUUGGCCAGCAGAUGGAGAUGCCAGCAAGAAAGAAUUGCGGGACCAACUGGAGGAAUUUUUGGAAUAUAUGCGCACCCACGGCUGCCAGUCCUGAGCCUCUUCUGCUUUCAGGGAGGUGUCAUCAGGCAGCUCUGGGCCACUGGGUUUAACCCCAAAUAAAGAGCACAGGAUAUGACACCC
rnacentral:lncRNA from 1 species